CAAUGUCCUUCCCCCUCCGGCGAGGUCAAAGGAAAACUUCUUUAGCAAAAGCCCCAAACUGUAGUGGUGUGCCUGGCAAGGACAAUACCACACACCGGAAGAAUGCCUUGAAUUUGGGUUUAAAAAAACAAAGCAUAUUUGAUGAUUAAGGAUUAUUAAAGAUUGUGGGGGAGAAUAGGGUGUAGCUGAAGCCACCUCCAGCCUGCUAAUGGAUCAUGCGGCUCCGAGCACCCCCGCCAUCGCCAUCGAAGCGUCCCCGUAUCUCUCCACCAUAUUUCAAGAUGCAGCAUCGUGAGGCUCCGGAUGCUCGAUGCCUGUAACGCUUGUGGUUGGCGCCCACCUGGGAGGUGUCGGCCCCUCUCUGACAACUGAGAACCGAGAGACUCCGAGGCUCCAGCAGAGGAGACGCCGUGGCUCCAGAGAUUCUGGCAACGGAAACCAAGAUGGAAGUAGGGGCUACACGGGACUACUGGAGGCAAGAUGGACAAACAAUGAUCCAGAAAUGAUAAAAAAAGGUGGAGAUGGACCAUUUUUUGGGGGUUGCUUUGUGAGAAAAGCCAUCUUAAGGAUGUAACUCCUCUAAAAAGGAGGAGCUAACACCA